rnacentral:rRNA from 1 species
GGGUAACAGAGGUGCUUGCACUUGCUGACGACCGGCGCACGGGUGCGGAACGCGUAUGGAACCUACCUUUAUCAGGGGAAUAGCCCAGAGAAAUUUGGAUUAAUGCCCCAUAGUACUGUUUGAUUGCAUGAUUAAAUAGUUAAAGAUUUAUCGGAUAAAGAUGGCCAUGCGUACCAUUAGUUAGUUGGUAAGGUAACGGCUUACCAAGGCAGCGAUGGUUAGGGGCCCUGAGAGGGGGAUCCCCCACACUGGUACUGAGACACGGACCAGACUCCUACGGGAGGCAGCAGUGAGGAAUAUUGGACAAUGGAGGAGACUCUGAUCCAGCCAUGCCGCGUGCAGGAUGACGGCCCUAUGGGUUGUAAACUGCUUUUAUACAGGAAGAAACCUUUCCGCGUGUGGAAAGCUGACGGUACUGUAAGAAUAAGGACCGGCUAACUCCGUGCCAGCAGCCGCGGUAAUACGGAGGGUCCGAGCGUUAUCCGGAAUCAUUGGGUUUAAAGGGUCCGUAGGCGGGCCUAUAAGUCAGGGGUGAAAGUUUGUGGCUCAACCAUAAAAUUGCCCUUGAUACUGUAGGUCUUGAGUUAUAGUGAAGUUGCCGGAACAUGUGGUGUAGCGGUGAAAUGCAUAGAUAUCACAUAGAACACCAAUUGCGAAGGCAGGUGACUAACUAUAUACUGACGCUGAUGGACGAAAGCGUGGGGAGCGAACGGGAUUAGAUACCCCGGUAGUCCACGCCGUAAACGAUGGAUACUAGCUGUCGGGACUUCGGUCUCGGCGGCCAAGCGAAAGUGAUAAGUAUCCCACCUGGGGAGUACGUUCGCAAGAAUGAAACUCAAAGGAAUUGACGGGGGCCCGCACAAGCGGUGGAGCAUGUGGUUUAAUUCGAUGAUACGCGAGGAACCUUACCAGGGCUUAAAUGUACAUUGCAUAGCGUAGAGAUAUGCUUUUCUUCGGACUAUGUACAAGGUGCUGCAUGGUUGUCGUCAGCUCGUGCCGUGAGGUGUCAGGUUAAGUCCUAUAACGAGCGCAACCCCUACCGUUAGUUGCCAGCAUGUAAUGAUGGGGACUCUAACGGGACUGCC